GUACUUACUCCUACGGGAGGCAGCAGUGGGGAAUUUUGGGCAAUGGGGGCAACCCUGAUCCAGCAAUGCCGCGUGUGUGAAGAAGGUCUUCGGAUUGUAAAGCACUUUAAGUUGGGAGGAAGGGCAUUAACCUAAUACGUUAGUGUCUUGACGUUACCGACAGAAUAAGCACCGGCUAACUCUGUGCCAGCAGCCGCGGUAAUACAGAGGGUGGAAGCGUUAAUCGGAAUUACUGGGCGUAAGGCGCGCGUAGGUGGUUUGUUAAGUUGAAUGUGAAAUCCCCGGGCUCAACCUGGGAACUGCAUCCAAAACUGGCAAGCUAGAGUAUGGUAGAGGGUAGUGGAAUUUCCUGUGUAGCGGUGAAAUGCGUAGAUAUAGGAAGGAACACCAGUGGCGAAGGCGACUACCUGGACUGAUACUGACACUGAGGUGCGAAAGCGUGGGGAGCAAACAGGAUUAGAUACCCUAGUAGUCCAGGCAU
rnacentral:rRNA from 1 species